AUAUGAAUAGUUAAAUUAUAUAAAUACAUGUAUAUAGAAAUACAAUGAAUGGACAGAGAAAAAAUACAUAUAUACAAUAAGUCAAUAAUAUUAGGUAUAGUAGAAUAUACAUGUACUAGUAUAUUUCGAUUGAUUAAAAUAGGGAUGUAUGUGCUAUAAUAAUAGGAGGAGCCUAUAUGGCGAUUUGAUGAAUCUCAAUUAAUAUAUUAAAGGCGAUGUCACACGAUACGAGUGUCUCCUACGAGAAUAGCCGUUUGCGUUGCAACCGAUGACAUCGCCAGUGACUAAGUCCGGGACAGGAGGUGGAGAUUUCGUUUCGGGUUUACAGUUUUGAUGUGCUACAGUUUAUAUACGAGAUUGCCCGGAAUCUUCAUCGUCUUUAGCUCCUCAGGUCCCCGUCCGCACCAACUGUGAUUUCCAAGUUGAACCAGUGACCUGGGCUCCGUUCCACGAAACGAUCUUAACGUUAAAAUCACAUUAAGUCUAUACGGUAGCUAUGCACAUACAGUGAUGUUAGGGCUAGAUCGCUUCGUGAAAGGCGGCCCUGGAAAGUAACCUAUAAAAGAAAAUCAAAGUGAUCGCUUUCACUUCACCGGCCUCGGUGGUGUCGUGUUUAAGCCAUCGGACGUAAGGCUAGUAGGUACUGGGUUCGUAGCCCGAUACAAGCUCCCACCCAGAGCGAGUUUUA